AGAACACAAGGACAAAGUGGAAGAAUAAGCAAGUGGAAAAGAGAGGCAAAAUAAGUUUUAUAGCAACAAUACCAGCUUUGCCUUCCAGUAAUAUCUAGGGCUCAAGCAAGCUCAAUUGAAGCAGCAACUAUAUACUGUUUCACACAGAAGGAGCAUAGAAACAGUGGAUAACAGUAGACAAAGUGGUAAUUCCCUGGAUACGUGCAAAGAAUAUGGGGAAAAAAAAGAAUAAAACUUGCCAGAAGGAACCUCAUAUACAUGGGCAGGUAUAUAUACAACAGUAUUUUUAAUCUGAAUGAACCUGGGAGAGAACUAAGGAAAGAAAACAAAGUAUUUGUUCAUGGUUGGAGAAACUUUAUUUGGCUGACAAUAAAGACUUGUGACUGGACAUCAUUUGCUCUGAACCAGUACCUGACCACAGGAGACUUCUUAGGAUAACCACUGCCUUCAGAAGGAGAAAGAUGGUGUGGCAUGGGUGAAGAAGAUGCAGCCCCUCAUACCUAAAGUUUACCAGCAGAGGACACAACACAGAAUGUGGGGAGAGCGGCUGUGUUGCUGUGCAUCCUCGCACUCGCAUUGCAGCUUUGUCCUGGCCUUUUAAGAUGUUGGCUUGGAUUUGACAGAGGUGCACCUGGCAGUCUGCAGCCAAUGCAGCCAAAAGCCCCUUAUGUUUCUGUGAGGCUCUAUUUCCUGUUAGUAAAAUUAAAGUAUUUAAAAAUAAGGAGUCAUCCAGGUAUGCUUGUUAAAAAAACUGUACAAACCCUGGGAUUAUUUGAAUAGUUUUUUCCUAAAAGUUCAGUAAUUACUUGGAAAAUUAAUACAGUAUCUUUUAAGGGAAAUAUUGUCUGUUUGAAAGUCAAUGUGUAUUGCCUUCAGGAAGUUCUUCUGAUGUCUUUGAGUGGACUCUACAAAGUAAAUACCUUCCUGUACACUGAUUAGUAAACUAUUAAUAUAAUAGAUAUAGAAGGACAGAGUCAACAUUUUUGGUUCUUAUUGUUCAAUGUUUUUUAAAGCCUUUGCUGUGAAUAAAAAGAGACUUUAAUAUGCUCCUGCA
rnacentral:lncRNA from 1 species